UACGUAGGGGGCGAGCGUUGUCCGGAAUCAUUGGGCGUAAAGCGCGUGUAGGCGGUUCAGUAAGUCUGCUGUGAAAGUCCAGGGCUCAACCCUGGGAUGCCGGUGGAUACUGCUGGGCUAGAGUACGGAAGAGGCGAGUGGAAUUCCCGGUGUAGCGGUGAAAUGCGCAGAUAUCGGGAGGAACACCAAUUGCGAAGGCAGCUCGCUGGGACGUCACUGACGCUGAGACGCGAAAGCGUGGGGAGCAAACAGG
rnacentral:rRNA from 1 species